UAAGGUUAGAGUGGGAGGAUAUGGAGAUGCAGUGGCUGAUGGUAUUGAGGUGGAAGUUUGGAUGAAAAUUGAGUGUUUGAGCACGUUUUGCUUGAGGUGGUUGCGUCCCCUUUACCUGAAAGGAUUAUUGGGGUGGAUACUGUGUCUGACUGGGGUUGGCUUCCCCUGCCUAAUACAGUAACACAGAAGGCAUGUAAGCCCACCCUCAGGCCUGUUUAGUCGGACAUGCUAAAUUGGGAAUGGCUGGAACUUGACAAACAUAUCACUAUUCUUAGGAGUGCCAUGCUGGAAGCUGGAGCGCUGCUAUCCGCAGAUCUGCUGUGCAGUAGUCCUGUGUGGCCUGUGCAGAGGUGGACGGCACAUAGAGACUAUUCAAGCUUAGAUGAAGUGCGUGCCGCCCAAGGUCCCAGCAGUUCCAGGCAUGGUCUCAGCCGUACAGAAAGUACAGCAGGUUGGAGGAGGCUGGUACCCCUGGAUGGACCUUGCAAAUGCUUUCUUCUCCAUCUCAGUUCCUGAAAAGAGCCAAGCCCGGUUUGCCUUCAGGUGGGAAGGAUCCCAGUUUGCCUCUGCUGUGCUAGGCGGGGAUCUGAACUCCCCGGCUGAUUGUCACUACGCAGUCAGGAGGGAUUUGGACUUGGCGCAACGCUCGAGUGUAAUAAUACAUGAUGUUGGUGACAUUAUGAUAAUACCAGAAACGGAGGAGUGGCUAGGACUCAUUUGAAUGCAACAAGGACAUACGUGCCCAACCAGGGCUGGUUAAUAAAUCCAGCGAAGGUCCAAGGUCCUGCUCAGUGAAAUUCGUAGGAAGAACAUGGGCAGGAGCCACCCAGGAUAUUCCAGAAGUGUGACUAUCAAUAAACUGCUGUCACUCCCCCACCAGGUCCAAACAAGAAGCACAGCACUUUCUUGGUUUAUUUGGAUUUUGGAGGACUCAUAUUCCACAGUGGGGACUAUUUCUAGCUCCUGUGUGUAAGACUCCAUGAAAGAAAGCUGCAUCUGAGUGGGGUCCUGAACAGAAGCGGGCCACGUCAGAACUAUACAUGGCAGCUGUGUGCUUGACACCAUCGGGCCCUUGUGACCCCCACUGAGACAGGAUUUUGGUAGUGUCUGCCCCCCACACCCAUGCAGACUGCAGCUUGUGGCAGUAAAAAGAAAACGAGCACCUCCCAGCUGUGACCCUUGGGAUUCUGGACCAGAAAAUUCCCACAUGGUGCUGCCUGGUACACACCACUUGGGAGACAAUUAUGAACAUGCUGUUGGGAAUUAAUCAAGACUGCUUAAGUGACCGAAGUAAAUAAAACAAUUUUGAAACCUGAGAUACCCAUACGUGUUGGGUGAUGUCAGAGAAACACCCUAAUAGGGAAGGCAGAGCCCAGAGGAGUCCCAUAAUCAAACGGAUAUGGUUCCUGCAGGGGCAGGCUGCCGGGGGGAUGCAAGGAGGCCCCCACGGAUCCAUGAGCAGGCAGCCUCAUCUCCUCUGGGACCGACGCUGGAGCCCCCGGGGAACUGCAUGGACGGUGCCCUAGGAGCAGCUCUCAGCUGAACGACAGAGCUGCUUGGUUACAGAUGGCAGUUCCAGGAGGCAUGGACAGUAUCCUGGUUGGAGAGCUGCUGCAGUAAGACCAGGGGAUGGCAAGACUGGCUGGGAGGAAAGAGAAAAAAGUGAUCUCAGUGGGCUGAAUUCCAAUCCCUUUUCUGGGCAGUGACGGGAGAAUGGAGCAGUGAGGAAAGCCCCUCGUGCUGGGGUUCCUAUGACCCGGGGCUGUGGCCACUGGCCUGGCUGUGUGGCCAGGAAAUGGGAAACUGGACUAUGAAAGCAAUGCCCACGUGGACAACGGCCAUAUGGAUAUUGCCCUGGGAAUUUGAGGGGCACGUUAAAGCAGGCCAUGUUGGUUUGUAUCAGAAGAAGCCUUUCUAGGAGUGGGAGGUGACUGUAGCCACCAGGUGGGCCUGCUGGUGCGGCCCUUGGAGGCAGCCGCCGGGGUCCAUACAAAGAGUGGCUGUGGGGAGCUGCAGCAGCGCGCGCACAGGCUGAGUCUACGCGUAUUCCUCUUGCACCCUGUGAGGCACGGAAUGCCAGCAAGACCUGUUCCGACUGUCAGCUAAAGAGACAGACACUGCAUUUGGCUAUGGGGAAAGUUCCCCAGUGGGCACGCCCUGCACAUAGCUGGCCAGUGGGUGAGAUUGGAUCAACGCUGCUACCGCUCGGAGGCUGUAAGUGGGUCGUUAGCAGAGUAGACACUUAUUCGGGACUAUGCUUUGCAUACCCAGUGGUAGGUGAAAUGCUGAAGACACCGUUUAAGGUUUGGAACUGAAGAUUCUAUACCAGUUUGGACAGCCAGGUUACAUCUCCGACCAGGGGACACGCUUUACCGACCAUGCUGUUCCACGGUGGGCCGAGAAACAUCCCAUCAGACGGAUGUACAGUGUUGCAUGUCACUCUCAGAGCAAUGGUUUAAUAGAAAAUUGGAACGGGC